rnacentral:sRNA from 1 species
CUUUUUUGCUAUCUGCUCAAGUUCAAAAUUCGGACCUGCGGCAGGUUCGGGUCGAACGUAGUGAGACAACGGAGCCGCUUGCGGCGACGGCCCGAAGGCGAGUAAAGCGAGUCAUCCUGCACCACCCUCCA